rnacentral:rRNA from 1 species
UACAGAGGGUGCAAGCGUUGUUCGGAAUUAUUGGGCGUAAAGGGCGCGUAGGCGGUUCGGCAAGUCUCUAGUGAAAUCUCAGGGCUCAACUCUGAGUCUGCUGGGGAAACUGCCGGGCUUGAGUGUGGGAGAGGAGAGUGGAAUUCCCGGUGUAGCGGUGAAAUGCGUAGAUAUCGAGAGGAACACCUGAGGUGAAGACGGGUUGCUGGGCCGACACUGACGCUGAGUGCGCGAAAGCCAGGGGAGCAAACGGG